GUUCUCGCUUUGGCAGCACAUAUACUAAAAUUGGAAUGAUACAGAGAAGAUUAGCAUGAUUAGCAUGGCCCCUGCGCAAGAAUGACAUGCAAAUUCGUGAAGCGUUCCAUAUUUUU
rnacentral:snRNA from 1 species